rnacentral:rRNA from 1 species
AACGAACGCUGGCGGCAGGCCUAACACAUGCAAGUCGAGCGAGAUCUUCGGGUCUAGCGGCGGACGGGUGAGUAACGCGUGGGAAUAUGCCUCUUGGUACGGAAUAGCCUCGGGAAACUGGGAGUAAUACCGUAUGUGCCCUUUGGGGGAGAGAUUUAUCGCCAAGAGAUUAGCCCGCGUUGGAUUAGGUAGUUGGUGGGGUAAUGGCCUACCAAGCCGACGAUCCAUAGCUGGUUUGAGAGGAUGAUCAGCCACACUGGGACUGAGACACGGCCCAGACUCCUACGGGAGGCAGCAGCGGGGAAUCUUAGACAAUGGGGGCAACCCUGAUCUAGCCAUGCCGCGUGAGUGAUGAAGGCCUUAGGGUUGUAAAGCCCUUUCAGCUGGGAAGAUAAUGACGGUACCAGCAGAAGAAGCCCCGGCUAACUCCGUG